GACGAACGCUGGCGGCGUGCUUAACACAUGCAAGUCGAACGGUGAAGCACCUUCCUUUUGGUGGGUGUGGGUGAGUGGCGAACGGGUGAGUAACACGUGAGUAACCUGCCCCCUUCUUCUGGAUAACCGCAUGAAAGUGUGGCUAAUACGGGAUAUUCUGUGCCUGCUGCAUGGUGGGUGUGGGAAAGAUGCGCCUUUGGGUGUUUUUGGUGGGGGAUUUCUUUUU
rnacentral:rRNA from 1 species